GAAGUAAAAGUCGUAACAAGGUUUCCGUAGNUGAACCUGCGGAAGGAUCAUUAAUAAAAUUGGAAUAUACAAUUCUUAAACCCACUCCGAGUAUUUGUACUUGUUGCUUCCGUGGGCAGUGAACCAUGUGUUUGCGCCUACCCAUGUGGUGGACCCACGGGAGACAUCAUCAAACCCAGCAUUCUGUGAUCUCAGUCUGAUUAUGUUUAUUGAAUAAACUUUAAAACUUUCAACAACGGAUCUCUUGGUUCUCGCAUCGAUGAAGAACGCAGCGAAAUGCGAUAAGUAGUGUGAAUUGCAGAAUUCCGUGAAUCAUCGAAUCUUUGAACGCACAUUGCGCCUCCUGGCAUUCCGGGAGGCAUGCCUGUUCGAGCGUCAUCAAAACCCUCAAGCCUGGAUUCAUCCAUGACUUGGUAUUGGCAUUGGAGUGUACUUGAGCCAUUCCUGUCCGAAAACCCAAGGCGGGGUUGUCCGUACCGAUGAGCGUAGUAAUCAACGUUAUGUUUCGCUCCGGGACGGAACAUCUCUAGCCGUAAACCCCCAUUCUUAAGUGAUUGACCUCGGAUCAGGUAGGGAUACCCGCUGAACUUAAGCAUA
rnacentral:rRNA from 1 species